ACGGCUCAGUAACACGUAGUCAACAUGCCCAGGGGACGUGGAUAACCUCGGGAAACUGAGGCUAAACCGCGACAGGCCAAGAUUUCUGGAAUGGAUCAUGGCUUAAAUCUAUAUGGCCCCUGGAUUGGACUGCGGCCGAUCAGGCUGUUGGUGAGGUAAUGGCCCACCAAACCUGUAACCGGUACGGGCUCUGAGAGGAGGAGCCCGGAGAUGGGCACUUAGACAAGGGCCCAGGCCCUAUGGGGCGCAGCAGGCGCGAAACCUCUGCAAUAAGCGAAAGCUUGACAGGGUUACUCUGAGUGAUUUCCGCUAAGGAAGUCUUUUGGCACCUCUAAAAAUGGUGCAGAAUAAGGGGUGGGCAAGUCUGGUGUCAGCCGCCGCGGUAAUACCAGCACCCCGAGUGGUCGGGACGAUUAUUGGGCCUAAAGCAUCCGUAGCCGGUCCUGCGAGUCCUCCGUUAAAUCCACCCGCUCAACGGUUGGGCCGCGGGGGAUACUACAGGGCUAGGAGGCGGGAGAGGCAAGCGGUACUCGAUGGGUAGGGGUAAAAUCCACUGAUCCAUUGAAGACCACCAGUGGCGAAGGCGGCUUGCCAGAACGCGCUCGACGGUGAGGGAUGAAAGCUGGGGGGAGCAAACCGGAUUAGAUACCCGGGUAGUCCCAGCUGUAAACGAUGCAGACUCGGUGAUGGGCUGGCUUCGUGCCAACCCGGUGCCGCAGGAAGCCGUUAAGUCUGCCGCCUGGGGAGUACGGUCGCAGACUGAAACUUAAAGGAAUUGGCGGGGGAGCAC
rnacentral:rRNA from 1 species